ACGAACGCUGGCGGCAGGCCUAACCCAUGCAAGUCGAGCGCCCUUUCGGGGGAGCGGCGGACGGGUGAGUAACGCGUGGGAAUAUGCCCUUCUCUACGGAAUAGCCUCGGGAAACUGAGAGUAAUACCGUAUACGCCCUGUGGGGGAAAGAUUUAUCGGGGAAGGAUUAGCCCGCGUUGGAUUAGGUAGUUGGUAGGGUAAUGGCCUACCAAGCCGACGAUCCAUAGCUGGUUUGAGAGGAUGAUCAGCCACACUGGGACUGAGACACGGCCCAGACUCCUACGGGAGGCAGCAGUGGGGAAUCUUAGACAAUGGGGGCAACCCUGAUCUAGCCAUGCCGCGUGAGUGAUGAAGGCCUUAGGGUUGUAAAGCUCUUUCAGCUGGGAAGAUAAUGACGGUACCAGCAGAAGAAGCCCCGGCUAACUCCGUG
rnacentral:rRNA from 1 species